CUGGGGAUUGUCUUCAGAAUCUUUCUUGUACGCAACUCGUAAGAUGUCCUCCACUUGCUCAGCAAAUCCCAUGUCCAACAUUUGGUCAACUUCAUCAAGGACGACAUGUUUCACCUUGGUAAGGUCCAGCUUGCCAUUCUGAAGAUGAUCUUUGAUUCGACCAGGUGUGCCAACCAAAAUGUCAAUUCCACUUCUAAUGAGAUCAAUUUGUCCGUUAUAUGGUGUUCCUCCAUAAAAACAAGCUACUGUGAGCUUUCUCGUUAUGUCCUUGAAAUCUUUGGCAACCUGGUUUGCCAGCUCUCUUGUUGGAGCAAGAACCAGAACUUUUGGUGAACGGCCUCUUCUUCUUUCCUGUGAGUCCGCCUGAAGCUUUUCAAUUAGGGGAAUAGCAAAAGAGAAAGUCUUCCCAGUUCCAGUUCGUGCCUGAGCAAUUACAUCUUUGCCAGAAUAUACUGGGUUGAAGGUCUUCACUUGCACAGGGAACAGGUAUGUCACUCCUCGAGCUUGAAGAAGCUGAAUGGUCCCUUUAGAGAUAGGGAAAUUGGAGAAAGCACCCUCUUUCUGCUCUUCAGUCAUCUCCUGCUCCUGGUCACUGUCCCCAUCCCCGCUGGACGUUUCACUGGAGUUGCUGUGCCGUUUCUUAUGGGUGGAUUUGGCACUGACAGAAGACAGCCUGGCGUUCUCCGGGCUCUCCUCCCUCACGUGCCCAUUCUGUUUUCCUCCGGUCUUUGCUUUCUUGAGCUUUGGUGAGCUGCACUCCUCUUCAGACUGCUCACUUUCAUCCGUCUGAGGUUUCCUCUUCCGAGCCUUAUCGUGCCGCUUGGAUUUCUUCUCUUUCUUCUCCUUCUUGCGCCGCCGCCGACUGCUCUCUGGUGCGGCCUCGCUUUCCAUAGGGCUCUCGGGCUCCGACUCGGCCCCGCUGCCGGCGCAGAUCCGGGUGGCCUCAGGCAUCGCCGCUCGCCGGCCACCACGCCGCAACCGCGCCGUGACAGGAAUGGACCCCACCCCGGAAACCGGUG
rnacentral:lncRNA from 1 species